AGGGCACCACCAGGAGUGGAGCCUGCGGCUUAAUUUGACUCAACACGGGAAAACUUACCUGGUCAGGACACUGGAAGGAUUGACAGAUUGAGAGCUCUUUCUUGAUUCAGUGGGUGGUGGUGCAUGGCCGUUCUUAGUUGGUGGAGCGAUUUGUCUGGUUAAUUCCGAUAACGAACGAGACUCUAGCCUACUAAAUAGACUGCUCAACUUUAUAGCUGUAUCACCUUGCAGUUGCUUCGGUGGCUGUAAGGCUAUGGUGACGUUGGCAGUGCUUCUUAGAGGGACAGGCGGCGGUUCAGCCGCACGAAACAGAGCAAUAACAGGUCUGUGAUGCCCUUAGAUGUCCAGGGCCGCACGCGCGCUACACUGAAGUGAUCAGCGUGCAAUUAACGUUUCCUACUCCGUCAGGAGUGGGUAACCCGUUGAACCUUCUUCGUGAUUGGGAUAGGGGAUUGUAAUUAUUCCCCUUGAACGAGGAAUUCCCAGUAAGCGCAAGUCAUAAGCUUGCGUUGAUUACGU
rnacentral:rRNA from 1 species